rnacentral:rRNA from 1 species
GGGCCCGCACAAGCGGUGGAGCAUGUGGUUUAAUUCGAUGAUACGCGAGGAACCUUACCAGGACUUAAAUGUAAGUUGCAUAAGCUAGAGAUAGCUUUUUCUUCGGACUACUUACAAGGUGCUGCAUGGUUGUCGUCAGCUCGUGCCGUGAGGUGUCAGGUUAAGUCCUAUAACGAGCGCAACCCCUGUUGUUAGUUGCCAUCGAGUAAUGUCGGGAACUCUAACAAGACUGCCGGUGCAAACCGCGAGGAAGGUGGGGAUGACGUCAAAUCAUCACGGCCCUUACGUCCUGGGCUACACACGUGCUACAAUGGCCGGUACAGAGAGCAGCCACUACGCGAGUAGGAGCG